GUGUUGACUUGGCAGUACAUAUUGGAAUAAAAAUUGGAACAACUUGGUGAAGAUUAGCAUGACCCUGCAUAAGGACAAUAUGCAAAUUCAUCAAGUGUUCUCUGUUUUU
ensembl:snRNA U6 U6 spliceosomal RNA